CGAAGCAGCAGGAUGUGAGCUGUCCCACUGAAAAAGGUGAAAGUCCUUUUUAUGGGGUACCUCCUUCAGCCAAUGGCCUUUGGGGGACUGGACCAGAUGGGGUGUGGCCUUUGAGUACAAACAAGCCCACAGGAGUGUUCACUCGGAUUCUUCUUCCCAUGUGCCACACCUAGAAGUUAGACCCUGUUCCUGUUUCCUCCUUCUUAUCUGAAAAUACUCAUCUUCAAAAAGUCAAGAGACCCUGGAC